rnacentral:rRNA from 1 species
UACGAAGGACCCAAGCGUUAUCCGGAUUUAUUGGGUUUAAAGGGUGCGUAGGCGGGUUAUUAAGUCAGUGGUGAAAGCCUUCAGCUUAACUGAAGAAUUGCCAUUGAUACUGACGAUCUUGAGUAUGAUUGAGGUGGGCGGAAUGUGUCAUGUAGCGGUGAAAUGCUUAGAUAUGACACAGAACACCGAUUGCGAAGGCAGCUCACUAAGUCAUAACUGACGCUGAUGCACGAAAGCGUGGGGAGCAAACAGG